rnacentral:misc_RNA from 1 species
GAUGAAGAACGCAGCGAAAUGCGAUACUUGGUGUGAAUUGCAGAAUCCCGUGAACCAUCGAGUCUUUGAACGCAAGUUGCGCCCGAAGCCACUAGGCCGAGGGCACGCCUGCCUGAGCGUCACACGCCGUUGCCCCCCCAUCUACUCCUUCGGGAUUGCGGGGGGGCGGAUGAUGGCCUCCUGUGCGCCUAGCCGCGCGGUUGGCAUAAAUACCAAGUCCUCGGCGACGCACGCCACGACAAUCGGUGGUUGCGAAACCUCGGUUGCCCGUCGUGUGCGUUCGUCGCGCAUCGAGGGCUCGAAAAAAUGCUCGGCUCCGGCUGGGCUUUCAACGCGACCCCAGGUCAGGCGGGGUUACCCGCUGAAUUUAAGCAUAUCAAUAAGCGGAGGA